AAAUUGAAGAGUUUGAUCAUGGCUCAGAUUGAACGCUGGCGGCAGGCCUAACACAUGCAAGUCGAGCGGUAGCACAGAGAGCUUGCUCUCGGGUGACGAGCGGCGGACGGGUGAGUAAUGUCUGGGAAACUGCCUGAUGGAGGGGGAUAACUACUGGAAACGGUAGCUAAUACCGCAUAACGUCGCAAGACCAAAGUGGGGGACCUUCGGGCCUCAUGCCAUCAGAUGUGCCCAGAUGGGAUUAGCUAGUAGGUGGGGUAACGGCUCACCUAGGCGACGAUCCCUAGCUGGUCUGAGAGGAUGACCAGCCACACUGGAACUGAGACACGGUCCAGACUCCUACGGGAGGCAGCAGUGGGGAAUAUUGCACAAUGGGCGCAAGCCUGAUGCAGCCAUGCCGCGUGUGUGAAGAAGGCCUUCGGGUUGUAAAGCACUUUCAGCGGGGAGGAAGGCGGUGAGGUUAAUAACCUCACCGAUUGACGUUACCCGCAGAAGAAGCACCGGCUAACUCCGUGCCAGCAGCCGCGGUAAUACGGAGGGUGCAAGCGUUAAUCGGAAUUACUGGGCGUAAAGCGCACGCAGGCGGUCUGUCAAGUCGGAUGUGAAAUCCCCGGGCUCAACCUGGGAACUGCAUUCGAAACUGGCAGGCUAGAGUCUUGUAGAGGGGGGUAGAAUUCCAGGUGUAGCGGUGAAAUGCGUAGAGAUCUGGAGGAAUACCGGUGGCGAAGGCGGCCCCCUGGACAAAGACUGACGCUCAGGUGCGAAAGCGUGGGGAGCAAACAGGAUUAGAUACCCUGGUAGUCCACGCCGUAAACGAUGUCGAUUUGGAGGUUGUGCCCUUGAGGCGUGGCUUCCGGAGCUAACGCGUUAAAUCGACCGCCUGGGGAGUACGGCCGCAAGGUUAAAACUCAAAUGAAUUGACGGGGGCCCGCACAAGCGGUGGAGCAUGUGGUUUAAUUCGAUGCAACGCGAAGAACCUUACCUGGUCUUGACAUCCACAGAACUUUCCAGAGAUGGAUUGGUGCCUUCGGGAACUGUGAGACAGGUGCUGCAUGGCUGUCGUCAGCUCGUGUUGUGAAAUGUUGGGUUAAGUCCCGCAACGAGCGCAACCCUUAUCCUUUGUUGCCAGCGGUUAGGCCGGGAACUCAAAGGAGACUGCCAGUGAUAAACUGGAGGAAGGUGGGGAUGACGUCAAGUCAUCAUGGCCCUUACGACCAGGGCUACACACGUGCUACAAUGGCAUAUACAAAGAGAAGCGACCUCGCGAGAGCAAGCGGACCUCAUAAAGUAUGUCGUAGUCCGGAUUGGAGUCUGCAACUCGACUCCAUGAAGUCGGAAUCGCUAGUAAUCGUAGAUCAGAAUGCUACGGUGAAUACGUUCCCGGGCCUUGUACACACCGCCCGUCACACCAUGGGAGUGGGUUGCAAAAGAAGUAGGUAGCUUAACCUUCGGGAGGGCGCUUACCACUUUGUGAUUCAUGACUGGGGUGAAGUCGUAACAAGGUAACCGUAGGGGAACCUGCGGUUGGAUCACCUCCUUACCUUAAAGAA
rnacentral:rRNA from 1 species